UACGUAGGGACCGAGCGUUGUCCGGAAUCAUUGGGCGUAAAGAGCGUGUAGGCGGCCUGUUAAGUCUUGCGUGAAAUCCCGGGGCUCAACCCCGAGCGGUCGUGAGAAACUGGCAGGCUAGAGUGCGGGAGAGGAGAGUGGAAUUCCUGGUGUAGCGGUGAAAUGCGCAGAUAUCAGGAGGAACACCGGUGGCGAAGGCGGGUCUCUGGGAAACAACUGACGCUGAGGAACGAAAGCGUGGGUAGCAAACAGG
rnacentral:rRNA from 1 species